UGGGGAAUAUUGCACAAUGGGCGAAAGCCUGAUGCAGCGACGCCGCGUGAGGGAUGACGGCCUUCGGGUUGUAAACCUCUUUCAGCAGGGAAGAAGCGAGAGUGACGGUACCUGCAGAAGAAGCGCCGGCUAACUACGUGCCAGCAGCCGCGGUAAUACGUAGGGCGCAAGCGUUGUCCGGAAUUAUUGGGCGUAAAGAGCUCGUAGGCGGCUUGUUGCGUCGGUUGUGAAAGCCCGGGGCUUAACCCCGGGUCUGCAGUCGAUACGGGCAGGCUAGAGUGUGGUAGGGGAGAUCGGAAUUCCUGGUGUAGCGGUGAAAUGCGCAGAUAUCAGGAGGAACACCGGUGGCGAAGGCGGAUCUCUGGGCCAUUACUGACGCUGAGGAGCGAAAGCGUGGGGAGCGAACA
rnacentral:rRNA from 2 species